rnacentral:tRNA from 1 species
AAGAAAGUGACAGAAGGGUUAUGUGGCUGGCUUGAAACCAGUUCAUGGGGGUUCAAAUCCUCCCUUUCUCG